rnacentral:rRNA from 1 species
AACGCUGGCGGCAGGCCUAACACAUGCAAGUCGAGCGGCAACGGGAAGAAUUUUCUUCGCCGGCGAGCGGCGGACGGGUGAGUAUAAUCUGGGGAUCUACCCAAUAGAGGGGGAUAACUAUUGGAAACGAUAGCUAAUACCGCAUAAUGUUUAAUAAACCAAAGUGGGGGACUUUCGGGCCUCAUGCUAUUGGAUGAACCCAGGCGAGAUUAGCUAGUAGGCGGGGUAAUAGCCCACCUAGGCAACGAUCUCUAGCUGGUUUGAGAGGAUGGCCAGCCACACUGGAACUGAGACACGGUCCAGACUCCUACGGGAGGCAGCAGUGGGGAAUAUUGCACAAUGGGGGGAACCCUGAUGCAGCCAUGCCGCGUGUGUGAAGAAGGCCUUCGGGUUGUAAAGCACUUUCAGCAGGGAAAAAGGUAAUAGUGUUAAUAGUACUAUUAAUUGAUAUUAACUGCAGAAGAAGCACCGGCUAACUCCGUGCCAGCAGCCGCGGUAAUACGGAGGGUGCAAGCGUUAAUCGGAAUUACUGGGCGUAAAGCGUACGCAGGUGGUUUGUUAAGUUAGGUGUGAAAUCCCCGGGCUUAACCUGGGAACUGCAUUUAAAACUGGCAAGCUAGAGUUUCGUAGAGGGGGGUAGAAUUCCAAGUGUAGCGGUGAAAUGCGUAGAUAUUUGGAGGAAUACCAGUGGCGAAGGCGGCCCCCUGGACGAAAACUGACACUCAGGUACGAAAGCGUGGGGAGCAAACAGGAUUAGAUACCCUGGUAGUCCAUGCUGUAAACGAUGUCGAUUUGAAGGUUGUGACCUUGAGUCAUGGCUUUCGGAGCUAACGUGUUAAAUCGACCGCCUGGGGAGUACAGUCGCAAGGUUAAAACUCAAAUGAAUUGACGGGGGCCCGCACAAGCGGUGGAGCAUGUGGUUUAAUUCGAUGCAACGCGAAGAACCUUACCUACUCUUGACAUCCAAAGAACUUAGCAGAAAUGCUUUGGUGCCUUCGGGAACUUUGAGACAGGUGCUGCAUGGCUGUCGUCAGCUCGUGUUGUGAAAUGUUGGGUUAAGUCCCGCAACGAGCGCAACCCUUAUCCUUUGUUGCCAGCGAUUAGGUCGGGAACUCAAAGGAGACUGCUGGUGAUAAACCGGAGGAAGGUGGGGAUGACGUCAAGUCAUCAUGGCUCUUACGAGUAGGGCUACACACGUGCUACAAUGGUGCAUACAAAGGGAAGCGAUCUUGUGAAAGUUAGCGGAUCUCAUAAAGUGCAUCGUAGUUCGGAUUGGAGUCUGCAACUCGUCUCCAUGAAGUCGGAAUCGCUAGUAAUCGUGAAUCAGAAUGUCACGGUGAAUACGUUCCCGGGCCUUGUACACACCGCCCGUCACACCAUGGAAGUAGGUUGCAAAAGAAGUGAGUAGUUUAACCCCCUAGGGGAGGGCGCUUACCACUUUGUGAUUUAUGA